rnacentral:rRNA from 1 species
GAUGAACGCUGGCGGCGUGCCUAAUACAUGCAAGUCGAGCGAACAGACGAGGAGCUUGCUCCUCUGACGUUAGCGGCGGACGGGUGAGUAACACGUGGAUAACCUACCUAUAAGACUGGGAUAACUUCGGGAAACCGGAGCUAAUACCGGAUAAUAUAUUGAACCGCAUGGUUCAAUAGUGAAAGACGGUUUUGCUGCCACUUAUAGAUGGAUCCGCGCCGCAUUAGCUAGUUGGUAAGGUAACGGCUUACCAAGGCAACGAUGCGUAGCCGACCUGAGAGGGGGGUCGGCCACACUGGAACUUGGACACGGUCCAGACUCCUACGGGAGGCAGCAGUAGGGAAUCUUCCGCAAUGGGCGAAAGCCUGACGGAGCAACGCCGCGUGAGUGAUGAAGGUCUUCGGAUCGUAAAACUCUGUUAUUAGGGAAGAACAAAUGUGUAAGUAACUAUGCACGUCUUGACGGUACCUAAUCAGAAAGCCACGGCUAACUACGUG